UACGAAGGUCCCAAGCGUUAUCCGGAAUCAUUGGGUUUAAAGGGUCCGUAGGCGGUCUAAUAAGUCAGUGGUGAAAGCCCAUCGCUUAACGAUGGAACGGCCAUUGAUACUGUUAGACUUGAAUUAUUGGGAAGUAACUAGAAUAUGUAGUGUAGCGGUGAAAUGCUUAGAUAUUACAUGGAAUACCAAUUGCGAAGGCGGGUUACUAUCAAUAUAUUGACGCUGAUGGACGAAAGCGUGGGGAGCGAACAGG
rnacentral:rRNA from 1 species